CUUGAGCGAGCCGAGCCAUAGCGGCCGGUCCUCGUCACGAUCCUUGCCAUAGGUGGCGAGCAGCGCCUGCGCCUC
rnacentral:antisense_RNA from 4 species